CCUACGGGAGGCUGCAGUGAGGAAUAUUGGUCAAUGGUCGGGAGACUGAACCAGCCAAGCCGCGUGAGGGAGGAAGGUACAGAGUAUCGUAAACCUCUUUUGUCAGGGAACAAAGGCGGGGACGUGUCCCCGGAUGAGUGUACCUGAAGAAAAAGCAUCGGCUAACUCCGUGCCAGCAGCCGCGGUAAUACGGAGGAUGCGAGGGUUAUCCGGAUUGAUUGGGUUUAAAGGGUGGGCAGGCGGUCUGUUAAGUCACCGGUCAAAGCCCGGGGUGCACCCCCGGCCCGCCGUUGAAACUGGCAGUCUCGAGUUGGAGAGAAGUAUGCGGAAUGCGCGGUGUAGCGGUGAAAUGCAUAG
rnacentral:rRNA from 1 species